rnacentral:rRNA from 1 species
GAUGAACGCUGGCGGUGUGCCUAAUACAUGCAAGUCGAGCGAACAGACGAGGAUCUUACUCCUCUGACGUUAGCGGCGGACGGGUGAGUAACACGUGGAGAAGCAAACUAUAAGACUGGGAUAACUUCGGGAAACCGGGGCUAAGACCGGAUAACAUGAUGAGCCGCAUGGGUCAACAGUGAAAGACUGUCUUGCUGUCACUUAUAGAUGGAUCCGCGUCGCAUUAGCUAGUUGGUAAGGUAACGGCUUACCAAGGCAACGGUGCGUAGCCGACCUGGGAGAGUGAUAGGCCACGCUGGGAGUGGGACACGGUCCAGACUCGUACGGGAGGAAGCAGUAGGGUAUCAUGCGCGAUGGGAGAAAGGAUGACGGAGCAACGCCGCGUAGGCGAAGAAGGUAUUCGGACCGUAAAACUCUGUUCUUAGGGAAGAACAACUGUGUAAGUCACUAUGCACGUAUUGACGGUACCUAAUCAGAAAGCCACGGCUAACUACGUG